AGAUGAGUAAAACACACACACAAAAAAAAAGGUGAGUCACUUCUCUCUCAACGUCAAUAAGGUGUGCCUCUUUUCUUUUUUUUUUCUUUUUUUAAUCUUCUUCUCCUCCGAA
rnacentral:ribozyme from 1 species